rnacentral:rRNA from 1 species
UACAGAGGGGGCAAGCGUUGUUCGGAAUUACUGGGCGUAAAGAGCUCGUAGGUGGUUUGUCGCGUUGUUCGUGAAAUGCCACAGCUUAACUGUGGGCGUGCGGGCGAUACGGGCAGACUGGAGUACUGCAGGGGAGACUGGAAUUCCUGGUGUAGCGGUGGAAUGCGCAGAUAUCAGGAGGAACACCGGUGGCGAAGGCGGGUCUCUGGGCAGUAACUGACGCUGGAGGAGCGAAAGCGUGGGGAGCGAACAGG